rnacentral:rRNA from 1 species
CCCUUAGAGUUUGAUCCUGGCUCAGGACGAACGCUGGCGGCGUGCUUAACACAUGCAAGUCGAGGGCGGGGAGCAAUCCCCGACCGGCGAACGGGUGCGUAACACGUGAGCGACCUGCCCGCGUGUGGGGGAUAGCCGGCCCAACGGCCGGGUAAUACCGCAUACGCUCUUUGGGGGGCAUCCCCUGGAGAGGAAAGGAGCAAUCCGCAGGCGGAGGGGCUCGCGGCCUAUCAGCUAGUUGGUGCGGGUCAUGGCCCACCAAGGCGACGACGGGUAGCUGGUCUGAGAGGAUGGCCAGCCACAUUGGGACUGAGAGACGGCCCAGACUCCUACGGGAGGCAGCAGUGGGGAAUCUUGCGCAAUGGCCGCAAGGCUGACGCAGCGACGCCGCGUGAGGGAGGAAGGUCUUCGGAUCGUAAACCUCUGUUGCCCGGGACGAAACGCCGCUUUCGAGCGGUUUGACGGUACCGGGUGAGGAAGCACCGGCUAACUCCGUGCCAGCAGCCGCGGUAAUACGGAGGGUGCGAGCGUUGUCCGGAAUCACUGGGCGUAAAGGGCGCGUAGGCGGCGGGAUCAGCGUGCGGUGAAAGCUCGGGGCUCAACCCCGAGUCGGCCGUGCGAACUGUCUCGCUGGAGCACUGUAGAGGCAGGUGGAAUUCCGGUGUAGCGGUGGAAUGCGUAGAGAUCCGGAAGAACACCGGGUGGCGAAGCGGCCUGCUGGGCAGUAGCUGACGCUGAGCGCGACAGCGUGGGGAGCAAACAGAUAGAUACCCUGGUAGUCCACGCCGUAACGUGGGCA